GUUAAGCAUCACGGAGCGGAGGUCGACGGGUAAUCACAGCUCCUCUUCCUGAGGUCUUGGUUCCUAAUCUCUCUCUCUCUCUCGUCUGCGUCGAAAGCCAAUUUUAUUUUCCGUUAUACACGAAGGGAAAGGCUUUCGACACUGAAGAAUCAUGAGCUGGAAUUACUUGGCCUUUUACCAGUUCUGACAACACCUACCGAUGGACGAAUCUAAAUCUUCAAGCAUGUACGAUUGGCGUUUAAAAAUGACCUAUUUCAUCAAUGAUGAAAACAACCAAGGAACUGCCUUCGUUGAAGCUCUAGAAUGUUGCGGCUUUCCGAUUCUCGGCAAGUCCUAUAGGAUGAGAAAGCUAGCUUAUUGCCUUUCUCCACCCUGACUGCCGACCACAAAAAGUCCACUAACUGCCAGGUACAUAAAUCGUUAUAUAGGUUAGAUAGGGACAAAUCAAAUUUAAAAUUAGGGGCCUAACUCGACCCGGUCUGGUCAAUAUUGGAACUCGGACUCUUUGAACGUAUACAUGUGUAUGUGUGUGUGUUCUCACAUACAGUGAAAAACGUAACCAGAACAAUACCAGGAACUAAAGAGAUAUCUUGCCACCUUCAACUUUAAAUGUCUUGCCUCCCUCAACUUUAAUUAUUACAGUUUUUUCUAAAAAGGCAAAAUUGCAACACGAAAAAUUAUAUAGGAUCUACUUCAAAAGUAAUACAACAAUUCGAAAUCACUUUUCGCCAAGUUUUGCCACUGACAGUGCGUCCGAACAAUUCAAGCAAAUUUGUUAAGAGAAGCAUAUUCGUAUUCAAUGAAAACCGACGAAUGAGAACGAGCAAAUACUGGCAAUGCCGGAAAAACACUGCCAAGAAAUAUUUUCAUUUCCUUGCUCGAUAACAAGGAAGAUGGCUGAGUGGACGGUUGGAUAGUAUUUCUUUUUAAAUACAGCUCAAGAUUCUUGAAUAAAUAAAUGCACUCUGGGCUGGUUCUGGAAUUCAUAGACUCGCAAACUGAUAUAUUUUCCAGAACGGGAAUCGACGUCGUUAUCUACCCUAGGUCUUCGAGGAGGUUGGAAUGAAAGCGAAAACAAAAUGGAG